rnacentral:rRNA from 1 species
CUAGUUUAUGGUUCGCCAUAAACUAGUUAGUGAUGUCACACUUCCAAGAAAAUCUCAUACAUCUAUAUAAUUGAAUUCCCUGUACCUGAAACCGACACAGGUAGGUUGGUAGAGAAUACCAAGGGGCGCGAGAGAACUCUCUCUAAGGAACUCGGCAAACUGGCCCCGUAACUUCGGAAGAAGGGGCGCCCUCUGAAAGGAGGGUCGCAGUGACCAGGCCCAGGCGACUGUUUACCAAAAACACAGGUCUCCGCAAAGUCGUAAGACAAUAUAUGGGGGCUGACGCCUGCCCAGUGCCGGAAGGUCAAGGAAGUUGGUUAUUUCGCAAGAAAAAAGCUGACGACCGAAGCCCCGGUGAACGGCGGUCGUAACUAUAACGAUCCUAAGGUAGCGAAAUUCAUUGUCGAGUAAGUUUCGACCUGCACGAAAGGCGUAACGAUCUGGGCGCUGUCUCGGAGAGAGGCUCGGUGAAAUAGACUUGUCCCGUGAAGAUGCGGACUACUAACACCUGGACAGAAAGACCCUAUGAAGCUUGACUGUAUCUUGGAAUUGGGUUUGGGCUUUUCUUGCGCAGCCUAGGUGGGAGGCUAUGAUGAUUUUCUUCCGGGAAAGUCGGAGCCGUCAUUGAGAGACCACUCUGGAAGAGCUAGAAUCCUAAUGGGGAUCCUUGAAUCAGGACCCUUGACAGUUUCAGGUGGGCAGUUUAUUUGGGGCGAAUGCCUCCUAAAAGGUAACGGAGGCGUGCAAAGGUUCCCUCAGUCUGGACGGAAAUCAGACAUUGAGUGCAAAGGCAAAAGGGAGCUUGACUGCAAGACCUACAAGUCGAGCAGGGGCGAAAGCCGGCCUUAGUGAUCCGACGGUGCCGCGUGGAAGGGCCGUCGCUCAACGGAUAAAAGUUACUCUAAGGAUAACAGGCUGAUCUUCCCCAAGAGUUCACAUCGACGGGAAGGUUUGGCACCUCGAUGUCGGCUCAUCACAUCCUCGAUCCGUAGUAGGUUCGAAGGGUUGGGCUGUUCGCCCAUUAAAGUGGUACGUGAGCUUGGUUCAGAACGUCGUGAGACAGUUCGGUCCAUAUCCGGUGUUAGCGUUAGAGUAUUGAGGGGAGCCUUCUAUAGUACGAGAGGACCUAGAAGGACAUACCAAUGGUGUACCAGUUCUCAUUCCAAUGGGAAACGCUGGGUAGCUAUGUAUGGAUAGAUAACUGCUGAAAGCAUCUAAGUAGGAAGCUAACCCCAAGAUGAGUACUCUCUGAGGUCGCGGCAAGACAAGCCGUUUAAUAGGCAUCAGGUCUACAGUCAGCAAUGGCUUCAGCCGAGAUGUACUAAAGACC